rnacentral:lncRNA from 1 species
AACUUUAUUACAGAGUCGGUUAGAAAAAAAAACAUAGCUGUAAAGAGUCUUCGGAUAAGGAAAUAGAUGAUGCAGCUAAAGAUUGGCGGCGCUUAAGCCUUGACAGAGAAGGUGGCAAGAAACAGAGAAGAGAAAAAAAGAAUAACAAUUAUAAAUAAUAAUGACACUGUUGAAAUUCAAAUUGAGGAGGACACUAAUAGUGGUGACGACCAAUGAUAUUAAAUUUAAAAUAAAUAAAGUUUCAUCUUCUGAAUUAUUUAAUUUUCAUUCUGGAUCUGGAACCAAUACAACUAAAAUUACAUCUCCGAAAAAAACUAUUUGUUUGAUCGCCUAACCAUAAGCCAUACGUCAUUUGUUCUGUUAAAGAAAUAAAUGAAAUUGAUAUGAAAAAAGAAGAUGUGGUAUGAUUGCUAAUGAGACAACUCUUUACAAGACACCAAAUGACACAGAGUUUAUCUGGUCGAUCCAUCAAACAUUGCCAAAGAAAUAUCUUAGCGUCACACAAUAAAUAAAAUUAAAGAGGCAAAGUUCAUGAAAAAAACAAGGACAGUAACAACAAUGGGUAAUACAAAAAUACAGAAUUGCUACCUUAAACUUUGGCAGUUUGGAAUACAAAAAAAGAU